UGCGCAGGCGGUUGAGUAAGACAGAUGUGAAAUCCCCGAGCUUAACUCGGGAAUGGCAUAUGUGACUGCUCGACUAGAGUGUGUCAGAGGGAGGUGGAAUUCCACGUGUAGCAGUGAAAUGCGUAGAUAUGUGGAAGAACACCGAUGGCGAAGGCAGCCUCCUGGGACAUAACUGACGCUCAGGCACGAAAGCGUGGGGAGCAAACA
rnacentral:rRNA from 1 species